UACGUAGGGGGCAAGCGUUGUCCGGAAUCAUUGGGCGUAAAGCGCGUGUAGGCGGCCAGGUAAGUCCGUUCUGAAAGCCCGGGGCUCAACCCCGGGAGGCGGAUGGAUACUGCUUGGCUCGAGUCCGGAAGAGGCGAGUGGAAUUCCCGGUGUAGCGGUGAAAUGCGCAGAUAUCGGGAGGAACACCGGUGGCGAAGGCGACAUCCUGGACCGGUAUUGACGCUGAGUGAGCGAAAGCCAGGGGAGCAAACGGG
rnacentral:rRNA from 1 species